GCGGCCGCCUUCGGAGCGCCGCCCUCCUCCCGAAACGGGCCGGGGCGAGUGGCUGCAAGAAGCUGCGGUUUGGCCCGCGGGAGAGGGGGGCUUCCCCACUGGGGCUGUCUGACGCGAACGCCUUCCUGGCCCCAGCCAGGCGCUCUGAGAGAGCUAAUGCUGGCAGCUAUUGGGAUGUCCUCUUCCAGGACUGGUGAUGAGUUUCCCUGGAUCCAGCCCUGGCCUGGCUGAGAUGACGAAGGUUGAAGAAGCGGCAUCAUCAGAGAACUGUGUUUUGAAGAUUUGAGGGAAGGGCUGACCUCAGGAUUUUAUACUAGGUAUUUGAUGCAAUGCAGACUGGAAUCCUCCCCACAAGGGUGCCCUGGCCUGAGUGGCACAGAGAUCAAUGCAGCAGUCAUUUCCUGGGCGGGGAAAGCCCAUCCACUGUGGCCCUGGAAUGAUGCUGGUCUUAUUUUCUAUUCCUAGGAAGGCCCUAUCUCAAGUGGCUCUGGGCCAUACAAACAGAUGGAAACAGGUGUGGGGAAGCACAGGCCUCCUACCCAUGUUAAGAGAGCUGCUCAGAGUCAGGAAUCCAGAACCAGGAAUGUCCCCAGUAGCUGCCCAAGGUACAAGUGGCAGGCAGCAGGGAGAAUGGCAUGUGAAGUCAUUUGUCACCUGGCCCCAGCUUGGUUUCCAAGUCUCAGAGGAGAUUAUGGAUAUGGUAGUGCCUGGCUCAGUGCUGAAAAUCCAGUCUCCUGCUAUUUCCCUCACCUACGCUCAGCCCCACAAGCCGAGAUGUUUGCUGGACAUUUCAGGCACUGCCACCCAGUUCUGUCUACCUUACCUGCUAACACCUGUUGACCAUCCUUCAUGUGAGGGCUUCCCCAAAUAUUUCCCAAUCAAAACACUAAAAGGCAAACCUGAAAUUAAUAAAAAUGUUAAUUAAAUCUGUA